AUGAAGAAGUGGGUUUUUAAUGAUUUUUUGAAGGAGUGGAGACUGGUUGAGCAUCUAACAGAGGAGGGAAGCGAGUUCCAUAGUAAUGGUGCGGCCCUCGAGAAAUCUUGAAGGCGAGCAUCAGAGGUCUUCAGCAGAUCGUAAGGGCCUAGACGGGACAUACUUGUGUAUAAGGGGGGAAAGAUAGGUGGGAGCAGCAUUAUGUAGAGAUUUGAAAGCAAG